GUGAAAUUUAGCCUGAAAUUCGGCUUUAGUUUCCACCGGUUGAAGUUCAAGAAGCCAGUUUCAGUGCGUAAACUGCAAAAGCCUCCUCAGCGCAGGCAAAUGACGAGUAGUUCCCACUUCCUCUUUAGCAACGGUGUCGUUUCGCACUCCUCAGCCAUUCCUCCGGUGACCACCUUCCUUGAAUCUCAUCCAGGUGCUUACACAACCACACGGUCUCACGACAACGGUUCCUGCCUCUUGUUCUGGGAUAGGCAUUUACACAGACUUUCAAAUUCCGCCAGAAUUCUCUUCAAUUCAAACCCACAUCUUCUCUUCAAUAUUCCCAUUUCUACAGAGCGAUCAUUGUCAUUGCCGCCGCCGCCACCGAUCUGGGAUUCGGCGGUUAAGGCUUUGGUUGAUGACUCCGUAGGGAAGGUGCUGCCGGUUGCGUUGAGAGAGAGGAAAGAUGGGGAGGAAUUGGCUAUCACGGCUCUUGUAAGUGGGGAUUCCAAGAAAAUGAGAAAAUUUGAAAAUUUGAGUCGGAAAAGUAUUGUUGAGGUGCUUGAUGUGUGUGUGCACAUUGGAAGCUAUGUUCCUCCUGUGUUUGGUGUCAGAGAAAAUGGAGCGCGUGUGGCAGUGGUCGGGCAUGGGAGGGAUAUUGCAGAAGCUAAAUAUUCAGAUUGGGUAAGGUUAAGGAAGCCUCUGGAGAAUUUGAGGCCUCCUUCAGUAACUGAGCUUUUGUUGUCAAAUGAUGGUGAUCAAAUACUUGAAGGUUGCGUGACGAAUUUUUUUGUUGUUUGUCGCAAGGUACUCUCAGGAGAACAGCGAAAUUAAGGGGAACAAUUUUCUUAGUGACAAAAAUUCAUGUCCUUUUGAAGUGCAGACAGCCCCUAUCAGUGAUGGUGUCCUUCCUGGAGUUAUUCGCCAACUAGUCAUUGAAGUAUGCAUAAGCAAGGGAAUCCCAGUUCAAGAAGUUGCACCUUUGUGGUCUAGGCGGGAAUUCUGGCAAGAGGCGUUUAUUACAAGUAUACUUCUGGUUGUUUCUAUACUUUUUGGCAGUAGAUAGUUACAUAUUUAAGUGAACAAAUCAUCUUUGCUUUUAGCCUCUAUAGAUUUUGACUUGUGACUCAAAUUAUUUAUAGCCUUAUAGGAAGUUCCUGAUUGCUGAAAUACUUGACCAGUAAUCACACAUCACAUUGGUCCAUUUGUCAAUAAUAGAUUCAAGUCCUCACUAUGAUUAGAAUGAAGGCUUUGGCUGAGUUUUAAAUUACAUUGGUCUGUGUGUUGGACAGUUCCAUUCAUCUGCUGGAUCUUUAAUUUUUUUACUUUCUUUUGGAAAGAAGCAUAAGGAUUAUUUAAUCUCAAUGGUCCUUUUUUCUAUUUAAAUUUUUGAUUACAGAAUAGGUUAGCAGUUCUACAAGUUUCUCAAGUUCUCUUACCCAUAGAAAGCCAAUUUUUUUUUAUAAUUUUGGUAGUUCCCUACCUGGAUGUCACCAUCAAACAAUAAUUAUAGAAAACCUAAUAAAUUGCAAUCAGUGCAAAUUGAAAUGGCUGCUACAUAAUUUCUCAGUGGUGGAAACAAUUUUUACACCUUCAUCAUCCCCUAGGGGACUUGUCUUUUGCCAACUUGAUUCAUUAAUUAUUCCUCUUCCAAAUGCUUUGUGAUUAAUGCUGCUUUUUCCUGAAUGUUGAUCUUAUCACCAAUAUUGGAAUUUACCUAUUGUUGGUUGUAAGCAAGCUCUUGAUUGUUGAUUCAAGUAUGGUUUUAUGGCAGAUAGCUUGAGAAUUUUACAGCAUGUGGAGAAAAUUCAGGUACCAAGUUCAUGGGAAUCAAUGGAACAAAAGGCUUUCAAGGCGAUUUCUUGGGAAGAGAAGUGUUUUGGGGAGGAUCCUGGGAUGAUUACAGCAGCUAUCCAGGUAAACACUGUGGAAUAUGCUUAAAUUUUGUGAAUAUUUAAUUGUGGCACCCUUGGAACCAUUUUUAAAAAGUCUGCAACCACUUGCGAAAAGCAAUUUUAAGAUAUCAUCUAUAUUUACCCUUGGGCUACAUUUGGUAGGAAGUGUUGUAAUGUAAUAUAAUAUAAUUGUCAUUUUAUUUUAAUGUUUAGUUACAAAUGAUAAUUUUUAUUUUAAUAUGUAGUUUAUUUAGUUGUAAUAACAAUAGAGUGGCAACGACUUUAGUGAUUAUUGACUAGUGGCUGGAUGAUGGUGAUGGUGGUAGUGCCAUAGUGGUGGCCAAGUGUUAAUGGUGGUUGGGCACUGACAAUAAUAGUAGUGGUGGUGACGGCGAUAAUAGUUGCCAGAUGACGGCGAAGUGGUGGCGGCGGCAAUGGUAAUAAAUAAACCAAAAUAUAUAAUUAUAAUUAUAUCAUUUUUGUAUGUAAUUGGCAUUACAUUUGUCAAAGUAUAAUUGACUACAACACAUAAUUGUUAUUAUUAGAUCAUUUUUUUCCUUUUUUAUAAUAAAACAAAAUAAUGAAACAUGCAAUGCAACUAUGAGUUUAUUAUAUUUUUUUAUUACCUCAUGCUAAAUAUAGUCUUAUUUCAUGACUUAUAUUUUUGUUAGACAUAAGAAGGAAACAAAUGAAUACAAUCCCUCUUAUUUAUUUAUUUUGGCAGAAAGAGAUUAUGGAGAAGGCAAGUCUUGAAGGGUAUUUAUUGUAGCAUUUCAUGACAAGUGAAGGGUUCUUGCAUUUCAUACCUUAUCAGUUGGUAAGGUAGAUUAAACUAGCAUUCCACACCCUUAUCUUGAAUUCAAGUUCACAAUGACUGUGUGUGUUUUGCUGGUUCUGUGUUAGGAAGGUGAAGAUUUCCCCAUCAAUCUUCAGCUUUAAGCUUUCAUGUUUUUUGAGCUCAAACUCUGUUAGAGAUGAUGUGAUGAUUAUUAAAAGCAAUAUGCUAUGUAUUGGUGUAAUUUGCUCUUACAGUUGAACUCCAUUGGCAUGUGUUCAUGAUACAGUUACACUUAUCUUCUCAUGUAUCUUGGAUAUUUUAUAUUUACUUAUUUGUUCAUUUAUUUAUUGAUUGGGUGUAAU
rnacentral:misc_RNA from 1 species